UCAACCCUCAAGCCUGGCUUGUUGUUGGACCCGGAACCCUCGUCAGGGUUAAUCGGUCUCAAAGACAAUGACGGCGUCCGUGGGACCCUCGGUACAAUGAGCUUUCCGAGCACGUACCGCAGUGGGCUGGCGGACCCGGUCCUCCUUUUUUAAUUUCUAA
rnacentral:misc_RNA from 2 species